ensembl:lncRNA
CGUGCCAGGUCCUGCUGGGGUGGGAGAAAGAGUCAAAGAAGAGACGGCCCCCUGUCGUGUGGAGAGUCUCUGUUUGGUCACCUCCUUCCCCCCCAGGACCAAGCAUUCCUUGAUAGUGGGGGCUGCAUUUGCUCCCCUGGGGUGUUCUCAGCACCUGGGAGGCAGGACCUAGCAGGGGUGCAAUGAGCACCAUUGCUCAUAUGCUGAAUAAACUGAACCCCUGUCCUCCAAGGGCUUUGGGGUGAUGGGGGAAACAGAGAAAAACUUUUUGACUCAGCAUUCCAGGACCCCAACCUGUAGGUUCUACCUAACUUUCUAGAACCUUCUUGCAUUGUCCAUAUUCAUGCACUUAGCACCAAACUGGACUCUUUACUCUUCUCCAAACAUGCCUGUGUUUCUUCUGCCUGGAAUACCUGUCCCCAUGUCCCCAAAUGUCUAUGGGGUCCUGUAUAUCUUUCAAGGCCAAUCUUAAACUCCGCUGUCUCUGUGAAGCCUUUCCCAAACCCCUGAUAAACUUUAUUUUAGCUCUUACCUCGUAUCCCAGCACAACUCUAACUUUCCUGCCGAAUGGCCUCUCCUGGAGCACGGGGGACUGUUAUCAAAGCUUUGGCAGUAGUGAGGGGCUAAUACAUGUGUUACGGCCCGAAGACCCCGGCAGACCUAAACCCAGCAACUACGACCCAUAACGUCCCAGAGGGAGACCUGGAGGAAGAGCAGCGAGGAAAGAAGAGUCACAUUUGACGGCAGCUGGGCUUGGGCCCCACCCCCACAUGGCCAACGCGGGUCAGCUGGGCUGAGCCUGGGGGCCUCAUUCUCCCCAAAUCUCUGCUCUUCCUGUGCUCUCUCUGCCACCUGGAAGGACAAGGGAGAGAGCAUCAGCAUGGACCAGUGAACUGCAUCUGCUGCAUGAAUGGAGGAGAGCAAUGGGCCAGUCACCUCCCAGCCCUCCUUUUACAACAGUGACCACACCCACCUGCAAAUAUGGGCCAAUCAGUGUCCUGCCAUCUGCAAGGAGGGAGUCCUGAGAGCUCUCACCUUACCUCUGAAGUCCCCUGCAUAGCACUAAAGAUGAAGUGGGAGCAACAGGGACUUGCUGAAUUAAUCCGAGCCCAGUACUCUGGUGUGACGGACCCAGUACUACUGGGUGACGGUCUGGGUCUGUCCUCACUUCAGUGUCCAGGCCUGGAACCUCUAGACAGGAUGAGAAGUGACAUCAGAGUGACCCCUCUCCCUGCCUCCAUGUGCCAGGCUCUGGUCAGCGUGCCCCAGGCCUCUCUCCUAGAGCAGGUCUUCUCGCUCUGCCCACAGCAUAGACACACUGAGUAAGUGCUGGUUGGCUCAAUGCUCCGUUUUGGGGUGAGACUUGGCGCCAGGCCCGCUGCUUAUUUCGCUUCCUCACUCUGAUGUCAACUCAACCUGUCAAGAGGUUCCAGGUCCUGGACUCUGAAGAGGGGGUAGCUUUGAUACUGCACUGAUGGUCGGGGGCCAGGCUCCACCUCGGAGGAGAUCAGAACUGGGUCAGCUGUAGGUUUGUUCCUAUACCGACAGUGUGCCUCUGCAGGUAGACUGGUGGAGGUGUUCAUGCAAACUCGGAAUAGAUGCCUGCGCUGCCAGGGACGACAUAGGCCAAGGGGCCGGAGCGACCAGGGCCGGCUCGGGACAUCCAGGCUCUGCAGACCGCCGCCACCGCCGAUUCCGCAGGUGGCCACUGGGCGUCGCAGCCGCCCGCGUUGUGUGGUCUUCAUCCUGGCGGCGCAUCCUGCCUUCCGCCUUCCCCGAUCCCCAGCUGGGAGCCGGGCUCCUGGGGGCGCAGGAGAGAGGAGGCCAGGGGAGGGGGCACCUUCCCGGAGCCUGGGGGCGGCUCCCGGGCUGUCGGCAGGGCUGAAUAAGGCUCAGGGUCAUUUCAAGAGAGAUGGAGGUGG